CUACGGAGGGAGCAAGCGUUAUUCGGAAUCACUGGGCGUAAAGGACGCGUAGGCGGGUUUGUAAGUCAGGUGUGAAAUCCUACAGCUCAACUGUAGAACUGCACUUGAAACUACAGACCUAGAGUAUGGAAGGGGCAGAUGGAAUUAGUGGUGUAGGGGUAAAAUCCGUAGAUAUCACUAGGAAUACCGAAAGCGAAGGCGAUCUGCUGGGACAUUACUGACGCUGAGGCGUGAAAGCGUGGGGAGCAAACAGGAUUAGAUACCCGAGUAGUCC
rnacentral:rRNA from 1 species